rnacentral:rRNA from 1 species
GAUGAACGCUGACAGAAUGCUUAACACAUCAGCGAUGGAUUGGUGGCGGACGGGUGAGUAACGCGUAAAGAACUUACCUCACAGUUAGGGACAAGAUUAGGAAACGAAUGCUAAUACAUAAUACUGUGAGAGAGCUUUGCGUACCAUUAGCUAGUUGGAGAGGUAACGGCUCACCAAGGCGAGGAUGGGUAGCCGCACUGAGAGUGUGAUCGGCCACAAGGUGAUCGAGACACCGGCCUUACUGCUAAGGGAGGCAUCAGUGGGGACUAUUUACCAAUGGACCAAAGUCUGAUCCAGCAAUUCUGUGUGCACGAUGAAGUUUUCGGAAGGUAAAGUGCUUUCAGUUGGGAAUCGGUACCAACAGAAGAAGUGACGGCUAACUACGUGCCAGCAGCCGCGGUAAUUC